rnacentral:rRNA from 1 species
UACGAAGGGGGGCUAGCGUUGUUCGGAAUUACUGGGCGUAAAGCGCGCGCAGGCGGCUAUCCAAGUCAGUGGUGAAAGCCCGGAGCUCAACUCCGGAACUGCCAUUGAAACUGUUUAGCUUGAGGACGAGAGAGGUGAGUGGAAUCCCCAGUGUAGAGGUGAAAUUCGUAGAUAUUGGGAAGAACACCAGUGGCGAAGGCGGCUCACUGGCUCGUAUCUGACGCUCAGGCGCGAUAGCGUGGGGGAUCAAACAGG